UUUAUAUGCAUCGGUUAUUUUGUAAAUUAUCUAUAUCUAUAUCUAUAAAUAAGGGUAUUGGAUUAAGAAUUAAGCACUUUUUCGUUCUCAUAAUACCCUCCUUACUUUGCAUUAUAUUUUACACCUCCUCCUCAAAACUACCAAAAUUACCCAUAGGAAAAAUUAAAACCCACAAAAAAGACAAUCACCCGAUCUAAAUCAGUUCUCAUUCUCCCGGACUCCCGGUCGCAACUGACGCAACCCCUCCCUCUCGCCGGAUUAUCUCCCCCAACCACCACCGCCGGAUUCAUCACCAUCAUCAACUAAAUCACAACCCCUCUUUCUCUUGCCGGAUUCAUCGCCACCAACCACCGUCGCUGGAUUCUUUCCGCUGCAGCCAUCAACUUUAUUUUGUGACAAGGGUUUUUCUUUAUUUGAUCUUAUUAUUUUGUUUAAUAUACCGUCGCCAUUUACUAUCUAGAUUAAUAAGCAUCUAGAUUAAUUUUCUUCUUAUCUUUUGAUGUAUUUUGUUUUUUCCUUUUGCAGAUUUGUGAUAGAGUUGGGUUUUUUAUUUAAUGGGUUGAUUUUCAAUUCAUCACCAUCAACAACAAAAUCACAACCCCUCUCUCUCGCCGGAUUCAUCACCACCAACCGCCGCCGCCGGAUUCAUCACCACCAACCGCCGCCGCCGGAUUUAUCACCAUCAACAAAGGUUUCUGGAGGUGGAGGAACUUCCAAAUAAAAUGUUGCUCGAUCUGUGCGGGAGUGGGACUGUUGAAACGGGAGCUUUUUAAAACACAAUGCUUCCUAAUGGUAUAUGCUUUAAUCUUACUUUUUUUCAAUAGGACAUCACCCUUAUCUACUGGAAUCUGUUUCAUUCUUUUCCGGUCUAAAGAAUUUCAGUUUGAGGUUAAAGGGUGUACCAUGGAAAGAAGUUUAAUUUUAAAUGUGUUACUUUAUGUAAAAAACCUGAGCUUGGAAAGUAGAACCGAUAGAUAAAAGUGAAUCAAUUUUGUGUAUAGCUUGGAUGAUCAUGUAAAAAACAUGAGUGAGAUAUUGAGAGUUCCAGAUACUUAUUUUAGUUGCUUAAUUAGCAUUGAAUUGUAACUUAUGAUUCAUUUCGGUUCUACUUUCCAAGCCAAAUUCAUUUUUAUCUUAUUUUAGUUGUUUCAUUAGCA